GAGAACGACUCGCGCGUAAUACGGACAGCCUUCGCUUCCUCGUGGAGAUCGAAAUAGCCCAUGUAGAUGUACAGUCAAAUGGUUAGUUUGAUACUCCAGCGCAAUAUCUUCCCGCUGUGUGGUACGGGCACUGAGAGGUGUAUUAUGUACCGGGUGUACCGAAGUAUUCAGGUAUACCUAACCUCUGUCAGCCCCGACUAGAAUGUCAGGCAUCCAAAGACAAGUUAUCCUCUACGCGGUAUAGAAUUACGAUUAGAGAUCGCACGAGGAUCUUCAAUUGCUGCAUUUAUAUAGCUACGUCGGGACGAAGUGGAGAAGCUGAGAAUCUGUUGCACAUGAAAUAUGCGUGGAAUGAAAACUGUCAGACCUCGACGGGAGGCUGGUUGGGGGCGACAGCUCGCUAAAUGUACAACCACCCCAUGUUACGUCUACGUGGCAUCUACACGGCGAAAGGCAUACAGCGAUAUCGUUGUCCAUGCGUCAGAAGAGCCCUGGCCGAAAAAAUGUUGCAGAUGCAUGGUAUUGACAUUUCACCAACCGGGAGCCCGACAGCAGCAGCAGCAGCAGCAGCAGCAGGAGCAACACCAGGAGCAGGGGUACCAGCAGUCCAUUAACUCCCGGAGCUGUCGCCACGACAAACCUCCAAGACCUCUUUGAGCGAACUGUCACGAUACUGGCGCGAAAUCAUCCCCUGGUUUGAAUUCGAUCGAGUUUCAGAUUCUUCUUUAAAAAAAUUCUUACACGCUACUUCCCUUGGGUACUUGGCAUAGAUACACUCGUUCCCUUGAGAGGAAUGCAAUUUUAUUUUAUAAAAUUAUAAAUUAUAUAUAUAUGAUAUGAAAUUUGACGUUAGUCGAGAGAAGGAAACGACAGACGAAAAAGAUGGCAAAAAAAUGAAUGAGGUAAAAAAAAAACGAAUAACAGUGAGUGACGGUAGAGGGAUGAAUGAGAUAAGGGAUGAUUGGUUGGGGGGGGGUGGGGAUUGAUAAAAACUGAAAGAGGUUGGGAAAAAUAACACGGUGAUUUUUCAAGUAAUCGUGGCUCGAGAUUUGGUGACGCAAGGAAUAUUAGCAUAGCGUCAAACUUAUAAUUGACAGGGGCUGAUCGAUAUUUUAAUUUAUCUAAGGGAGGAGGGGGGGGACGAGAUCGCCGACGCCGUCGGCGCACUUAACGAGUAAGGACAGCUCCCGUAGUGUCGGGACGUAGAAAAUUGAAAAAGUGACGCGAACUAUUCAGAUGUCAUAUACCCCAGGGACGAGAGAGUCGAGAAAGAUGAUAGGAGAAAAUAAAAAAUAGAAAAAAAAGCUUCGCUUUGGAGCCGCCAAUUACUUGGGCAAUUAUAGCCCACGAGUUACGUCACUACGGGAGGAUCCAAUUAACGUUGAUUAUAUUAUUGUAAAUAAACGCCUACAGUAUACCACACGCCAUAAUCUAUUCUAUAUAAUAAAAUGAUACGUUAAUCUUUUCUACCAUCUACUAUGAAUCUGUUACAGUGUACUGUACCGAGUGCCAGUACAUACAGUGCCAGCCAUACCUACAGAUAUAUUUACAUGCUAUCUUACACGUGUACCAAACCUAUUGACGUUAUUAUGGGUAUAAACACGUAACACCAUGUGCAAACGUACGUCUCUUAAAUAUUGAAGGAGUAUAUUUUCCGUGCCACUCCCGGUAGCUAUAAACAGACUCGUCAAAACAGCAUAUGGACAUUCUCCCCUGGCUCCGUGUUAAUUCGCCUUCGACUAGAAUCUUAGCGCAUUGGACGUCACAGGCAUUAAUUCAGCAUGCGUUCUCACUCGAGUCAAUUCCCAGCGUGGACAGACGUAAGACGCUAACAGGACGGUCAACGAGUGAAAAUACAUAAGCGAAGUUGAGUAAUUGCUGAAAUCAAUUCUAUUGGACGUGGUUCAAAAUACUCGAGCUCCGCCAAUCGGAAGGUACGUCGGUGUUUGGAUUAAUUGUCAAUCGAAGUGACGUUCCAGUCGUUACACGGAUACACGAGAAGUCACUUCGCUGUAUCUAAAAAUAAUCUUACAGAUUUUCAUUAAUGAAGAUUGAGAUAAAACAAAAUUUUAUAUUCAUCCUAAGUGACCCGACGACCUGGGGGGUCAGCUUUAACCAGUUGACAAUCGGAGAUGCCGCUACGUCACCGUCCACGUCAAUUACCCUCAGCCCACAGACGGGACUCGAAUUAACGUCCUGUCCUACUAGCGUUCGACCAUUAAUUUGCAUCUCCAUCAUCGCACCAGCGCUAAAUAACUUGGCGGCAAUUACUUAGCUGACAGAUGUCGAGUCGCUACUGUUCUAAUGACAGCGAGAUAUUAUGCAAAAGUUGUUCCCGUGGACGCGACUGUUUGACGGUACCUUGUUUAUAGGAGAUGCAUACGGAGUUAAGUAAGUUUAUACACGUGUUAUUAUUAGCUUAAUUAGAAUAUUCAUGAGAGAUUAUAAAUAGCGAUAAAAAUUCAACGGCUUCGCGCGGACUCGCUACAGGCGUCAUAUUUAUUCUCUUUUUUCCAUUUUCUUUUUUUUUCCCCUUCUUUUGCUGGAAAUUAUGCAAUUUUUCAGUGAAUCAAAACAGCGCGAUUUGACAGGAGGACGUUGGUAUUUAUCGAGAUAAGAGAUCUCUGUGUAAGAUGAACAAGGAUGCUGGUUCAGGUGACUGAGAGAGAGUAUUAACGAUGCAAGGAUGAGAAGACGCAAGAGGGGGUGAAGUAGUAGGAGGUUGGAACCCGGUAUAGAAAUUAUACAAGAUGCCCCCCCCCCCC